ACAGUCCUGCUUUAAAUAACACCUCAAUGUUCUGUCCUGCACAGUUCAGUUUAUCCCCCUAAUAGUGUUUGUGAGUGGAGAUCAGGUGAAGUCCUGUACUUAGGGCAAUACAUCACAUUCAUUUAAGGUUAAACAGAACAGAGCUCUUACAGAGUGCUACCAGGCAGAGAAAGACUGCCGAUCACAACUACCAAUUCACAUGUCCAGUUAAAGCAUACUAGUUAAAUGGAUCUGAGAUUUUAACAUAUGCACAGGGCUGCAGGACCUAUACUGUUGCCCUCUUAUACUGUUGCCCUCUUACAAUUUAACAUUAUAUAUUAACAGUAUAGAAUAUAGACUGUAGGAUGAUUUCAUACAGAAGGCACCACAAAUGCAGUGCAUAAUCAAAGAACAGGUAAGAAAUGUAUCUCUUAUUUAACCCAUGAAGCUAUUGUCCACUGGGAGGCAGCAUAGAGCUAAAAAAGAAUCCCCUUCCACAGUCGCUGUCCCUAUAUCAUCUCUCCUGUGCCUCAAAGCCAGACGGAGCUACCGAAUGUAAUCUGGUGCAAAGGGAUGACGCCCCCGGAAAGCACAUGAAAACAUUGUUUAAUGAACUCCUACAUUCUGUUUAGUCAUAAACCUACUGUAGGAUCACACUGAUUCUGACAUGGGGCCUAAAAGCCACACUACAUGAUGGGAAAGCUACUCAGUGACAUCACCCUAAAUUAGUAGCAACUAGCAUGUGUAGCAUGUAGAGGUUUUGCUGUGACACAAGCAGAAUGACACACCUGUCAAAGAGGCAAGAAAUAGUGACAUUCGAUUCUGUUCUUUUUUCUGAAGUCUACAGUCUUAAACUCUUCUGAAUAUCAUCAGUGGUCUUGCCUUUGUGAGUGUGUGUUUUCGUAACUGGAGAACCCCGAAGUUGACCCACCGGGAG
rnacentral:lncRNA from 13 species